UACGAAGGGGGCGAGCGUUGUUCGGAUUUACUGGGCGUAAAGGGCGCGUAGGCGGCCUGCUAAGUCGAACGUGAAAUCCCCGGGCUCAACCCGGGAACUGCGUCCGAUACUGGCAGGCUUGAAUCCGGGAGAGGGAUGCGGAAUUCCAGGUGUAGCGGUGAAAUGCGUAGAUAUCUGGAGGAACACCGGUGGCGAAGGCGGCAUCCUGGACCGGCAUUGACGCUGAGGCGCGAAAGCCAAGGGAGCAAAGCGGG
rnacentral:rRNA from 1 species